rnacentral:rRNA from 1 species
GACGAACGCUGGCGGCGUGCCUAAUACAUGCAAGUCGAGCGAAGUUUUUCUGGUGCUUGCACUAGAAAAACUUAGCGGCGAACGGGUGAGUAACACGUAAAGAACCUGCCUCAUAGACUGGGACAACUAUUGGAAACGAUAGCUAAUACCGGAUAACAGCAUUAACUGCAUGGUUGAUGUUUAAAAGUUGGUUUUGCUAACACUAUGAGAUGGCUUUGCGGUGCAUUAGCUAGUUGGUGGGGUAAAGGCCUACCAAGGCGACGAUGCAUAGCCGACCUGAGAGGGUGAUCGGCCACACUGGGACUGAGACACGGCCCAGACUCCUACGGGAGGCAGCAGUAGGGAAUCUUCCGCAAUGGGCGAAAGCCUGACGGAGCAACGCCGCGUGAGUGAAGAAGGAUUUCGGUUCGUAAAGCUCUGUUGUUAGGGAAGAAUGAUUGUGUAGUAACUAUACACAGUAGAGACGGUACCUAACCAGAAAGCCACGGCUAACUACGUGCCGGCAGCCGCGGUAAUACGUAGGUGGCAAGCGUUGUCCGGAAUUAUUGGGCGUAAAGCGCGCGCAGGUGGUUUAAUAAGUCUGAUGUGAAAGCCCACGGCUCAACCGUGGAGGGUCAUUGGAAACUGUUAAACUUGAGUGCAGGAGAGAAAAGUGGAAUUCCUAGUGUAGCGGUGAAAUGCGUAGAGAUUAGGAGGAACACCAGUGGCGAAGGCGGCUUUUUGGCCUGUAACUGACACUGAGGCGCGAAAGCGUGGGGAGCAAACAGG